rnacentral:rRNA from 1 species
AACGAACGCUGGCGGCAGGCUUAACACAUGCAAGUCGAGCGCCCCGCAAGGGGAGCGGCAGACGGGUGAGUAACACGUGGGAACAUACCCAUCUCUGCGGAACAACUCCGGGAAACUGGAGCUAAUACCGCAUACGCCCUUCGGGGGAAAGAUUUAUCGGAGAUGGAGUGGCCCGCGUUGGAUUAGCUAGUUGGUGGGGUAAAGGCCUACCAAGGCUACGAUACAUAGCUGGACUGAGAGGAUGAUCAGCCACAUUGGGACUGAGACACGGCCCAGACUCCUACGGCAGGCAGCAGUGGGGAAUAUUGGACGAUGGGCGAAAGCAUGAUCCAGCCAUGCCGCGUGAGUGAUGAAGGCCUUAGGGUUGUAAAGCUCUUUCACCGAUGAAGAUAAUGACGGUAGUCGGAGAAGAAGCCCCGGCUAACUUCGUGCCAGCCGCCGCAGUAACAC